GCCCUAGAAAUAUUUCUAAGGUGUAACCUGCCCCCUGAUUUCUAAUUAAAAAAUAAUAAAUAUAUUUUAAAGAAAUUAAAAGGACGCGGUAACCUUGACCGUGAUAAUGUAGCAUAAUCAUUCGCCAUUUAAUUGAUGGAUAGUAUGAAAGGUUGAACGAAUAUUCCACUGUCUUAAAAAGAAAACCCAAAAAUUAAAAUAAUAGUUAAGAUGCUAUUUAAAAUUGUAAGACGAAAAGACCCUAUAGAGCUUAACUAUUAUAUUCUUAUAUAAAGUGAAUAGAUAUUAUUAUUACAAAGGAAUAGAGGUAGUUUAGUUGGGGCGACUGUCUUCUAAAACAAACGAAGACAAGCAAAAUUAUUAAAAUAAUUUAUUGUAUAAUUAAUUUAUUUAACAAUUACAAAAGUAGGUUAUAACGACCCGUUAGAUAAAAAUAGAAUCACUAACGAUCAAUAAAUAAAAGCUACCUUAGGGAUAACAGGAUAAUUUCAUUUUAGAGAUCCUAUCGAAAAUGAAGUUUGUCACCUCUAUGUUGAAUUAAGAUAUCCUGAUAAUGAAGAAGUUAUCAAAGGUGGGUCUGUUCGACCCUUAAAAUCUU
rnacentral:rRNA from 1 species